rnacentral:rRNA from 1 species
AUGGUAGCAAAGGCUGUUGCUGGCUUGAAUGAGCAUGUGCACGUCUUCCUGCUGCUUAUUUCAUUCAUUCUCACCUCCUGUGCACUUUUUGUAGACACUUGGGAAUGAGAGGUUGGUUCGUAUUGAUUGACCUCUUGGCAUUGAAACAUUUUCAAUGUAAAGUCUGGGUGUUUAUGCCAAUUUUCAUACACACGUCGCAUGUCUAUAGAAUGAGAUUGUAGCUUUUUUUAAAAAGCCUUUAAAUGAUAAAGUACAACUUUCAACAACGGAUCUCUUGGCUCUCGCAUCGAUGAAGAACGCAGCGAAAUGCGAUAAGUAAUGUGAAUUGCAGAAUUCAGUGAAUCAUCGAAUCUUUGAACGCAUCUUGCGCUCCUUGGUAUUCCGAGGAGCAUGCCUGUUUGAGUGUCAUUAAGUAUCUCAAAAGCUCUUAUGCUAUGCAUGGGACUUUUGGACAUUGGGAGUUGCCGGUCACUGAUACAGUGGUGGGCUCUUCUGAAAAGCAUUAGUUGAGGAGCUUUGCACUCUAUUUGGUGUGAUAGACUAUCUAUGCCAGGAGAUGCUGUAUGAUCCCUCUGCUGUCAAAUAGUCCUUAUUGGACAACAUGAUGAACUUUGACCUCCAAAUC